UACAGAAGAAUUAAAAUAUGAUAAAUCCCUAGCGCUUUUUUUCCGCGUUGUAUUACGUAUGUAUUCCACAAAUAUCAUUUAGGAUCUUGUCUUGCUAAUUAAUGAUCUAUACUCAUAUCAGGAUAUGGAAGUAUAAAGUCUACGAAAAGGAUUAAAGUAAAUAAAAAAGACUCUUUUUUAUUUUUUUCAUUGAUUCAUUUUUCAAUCGAUUCGACAAUAACGAACGGAUUACGAGUAAUCUGUGUCGGUCUGGCUAAAGUAUAUAGCGGAUCCAUAUAAAUCUCAAUAUAUAAAUAAGAUAAGUCACGCCUCUGUGACUUACAGCUACAGCACAACGAUUAGAAUUAAAAGGGUUUGAAUAAAAUCAUGUAUGCUAUACGCUUUUUC
rnacentral:lncRNA from 1 species